rfam:Oscillibacter sp. 1-3 genomic scaffold acPPL-supercont1.6, whole genome shotgun sequence.
ACAAUGAUACUCCCGCCCAGCCACAGACACAAGCAAUGGGGGCGGCUCGGAGAGAUCCUCGGAGGGGUGAGAUACCCGUGA